UCUCCCCAAGGCUGCCCAAGCCUGGAAAUGUUCAUCCUUUGAGAAACUCCAGGUCUAACUGUCCACAAUGAUGCUAACACUGGAACUCUGGAACUUUCCAAAGCCUGCUCAGCUCCCCUCCCCACAGGCCUCAGUCCAGCUGAACGAAUCUGACUUCACAGCGCGUUGUACUUCCAGCUCAGACAUCCCCAUGGACCACCAUUUCCUCCAAACUUACAGGACUCAGGUGCUGGGGCAGGAGACAGAGGUGUAGAUGAGUCAGCCCAACAGCAAGAGACCCAGAAUUUUCCAGCCAUUUUUAACCCGUGCUGUGCACUUAGCUCUGUCCUGGUGGAUUUUGGAAACUCGCAUGAAGCCU